rnacentral:rRNA from 1 species
GGGUAACCUGCCUGUAAGACCGGGAUAACUCCGGGAAACCGGUGCUAAUACCGGAUAGAUUAUCUUUCCGCCUGGAGAGAUAAGGAAAGAUGGCUUUUGCCAUCACUUACAGAUGGGCCCGCGGCGCAUUAGCUAGUUGGUGAGGUAACGGCUCACCAAGGCGACGAUGCGUAGCCGACCUGAGAGGGUGAUCGGCCACACUGGGACUGAGACACGGCCCAGACUCCUACGGGAGGCAGCAGUAGGGAAUCUUCCGCAAUGGACGAAAGUCUGACGGAGCAACGCCGCGUGAGCGAAGAAGGUCUUCGGAUCGUAAAGCUCUGUUGUUAGGGAAGAACAAGUAUCGGAGGAAAUGCCAGUACCUUGACGGUACCUGACGAGAAAGCCACGGCUAACUACGUGC